rnacentral:lncRNA from 1 species
UUCCGGUUAGAAAUCAGAAAAAACUUUGCAAGUGUAAACAACAGAAAACUGCUCAUGAUACUAGAAAGAAUGCGUAAACCAAUCCGAUCACGAGGACAAACUGACAAUAAAUGAAGGCACUUUCAUAUAAGUACAGGAAAAUGAGUUAAACAUAUUUAGAACCCGAAUCCGAGACCUCAGGUUUGAAGAUGAGUAUAUUGGCAUACAUUCAAACUAUUUAUGAUUCCUUGGGAAGCUUUGCAUUAUAUGUUUAUACAUUUAUCAUUAAUUUAGUGGAAUUUAAUUUCAAGGCUGUGACAGUUACUGUUGAAACUUUCCAAGAUAUUAUUACAACGACAGUGAACAUUUUUAAAGUUAUAAACAGC